UCUAGGUGCGUUGAAUGAUUUAGGCAAAUUCUUUGUUUAGCCCACUGAGCCAAACUGACAAACCCUGAAUCUAUCACUUGCAACCCAUUUUGAGCUUAACAAUUCUUUUGAAUUCACUUAUAAAUUUGCCUAGAUUUGAGCCAUCCCGGUCAAAACUGAACUUAAGGGCAAAAAGAAGGGAGAAUAGUGUGAUGGAUUCUAUGGGCAGGACUAGUACAAAGAAAGAAAAAAAAAUGGGAAAUCUAAAUCCCAAAACAGAGAAAAGUCCAGAAAAAGAGAAAAGAAAUAAAAAAGGGGAAGGAGAAAAGGAAAAUAAAAAAAGAGGAAGAAUAAGGGGAAGAAUGUGCUUAGGCCCGUAAGAAUAGGCAAGGAUCUAAAAAAAAUUCUGAAAAGUCUAUGCCAGAAUGAAGUUCAGUAUGACCUUAGCCUCGUACCAAAAAUUCUCACCUCAUGCCUCAAGCCACAUUACAACCCAUGAAAGACCUAAUGAGAUGCGC
rnacentral:lncRNA from 1 species